GCAAGUCGAACGAGAAAGCCCUUUCGGGGGUGAGUAGAGUGGCGCACGGGUGAGUAUGAAUAGGAACGUACCUAUAGGAGGGGGAUAACUACUGGAAACGGUAGCUAAUACCGCGUAAGAUCGUAAGAUGAAAGAGGGCCUCUACUUGUAAGCUCUCGCCUAUAGAUCGGCCUAUUUCCCAUUAGCUUGUUGGUAGGGUAAUGGCCUACCAAGGCUACGAUGGGUAGCUGGUCUGAGAGGAUGAUC
rnacentral:rRNA from 1 species